GAAAUGCGAUAAGUAAUGUGAAUUGCAGAAUUCAGUGAAUCAUCGAAUCUUUGAACGCACCUUGCGCUCCUUGGUAUUCCUUGGAGCAUACCUGUUUGAGUAUCAUGAAAUCUUCAAAGUAAAUCUUUUGUUAACUCAAUUGGUUUCUACUUUGGUAUUGGAGGUCUUUGCAGCUUCACACCUGCUCCUCUUUGUUCAUUAGCUGGAUCUCAGUGUUAUGCUUGGUUCCACUCGGCGUGAUAAGUUAUCUAUUGCUGAGGACACUGUAAAAGGUGGCCAAGGUAAAUGCAGAUGAACCGCUUCUAAUAGUCCAUUGACUUGGACAAUACUUUUAUGAUCUGAUCUCAAAUCAGGUAGGACUACCCGCUGAACUUAAGC
rnacentral:misc_RNA from 1 species